AGUGAACGCUGGCGGCAUGCCUAACACAUGCAAGUCGAACGGCAGCACAGUAAGAGCUUGCUCUUACGGGUGGCGAGUGGCGGACGGGUGAGGUAUACAUCGGAAUCUACUUUUUCGUGGGGGAUAACGUAGGGAAACUUACGCUAAUACCGCAUACGACCUACGGGUGAAAGCAGUGGAUCUUCGGACCUUGCGCGAUUGAAUGAGCCGAUGUCGGAUUAGCUAGUUGGCUGGGUAAAGGCCCACCAAGGCGACGAUCCGUAGCUGGUCUGAGAGGAUGAUCGGCCACACUGGAACUGAGACACGGUCCAGACUCCUACGGGAGGCAGCAGUGGGGAAUAUUGGGCAAUGGGCGCAAGCCUGAUCCAGCCAUACCGCGUGAGUGAAGAAGGCCUUCGGGUUGUAAAGCCCUUUUGUUGGGAAAGAAAAGCAGCAGGUUAAUACCCCGCUGUUCUGACGGUACCCAAAGAAUAAGCACCGGCUAACUUCGUG
rnacentral:rRNA from 1 species